CUUUCCUGUGUUCAAUGACAAAGUUUGUCUUGUCAUUUUUACUCUCAGUUAUUUACCACAACAGGGUUGUUUUUUCCACCAGGAGUAGGAGUGAGCUGUGACUGACAAGGUUAUGGAAAAUGUUGACACCCUUUGUGAGACAAGCACAGUAAUACUUUUGACUUCACAUCAAUUUAACGCAUAGAAAGGCUAUGGGAUGACUGAUGUCUGACUGUUGCCGUCUGACGGUCAAAGAAUGGAAGAUCUAAGUCUGCUGGUUUCCAAAAUGAGGUGUGAGCCACCCACAGGGAUCAUGGAGCUACUGCCGAGGAUGGGUGCAGCAAGGCAAAUAAAUUAAAUCAUAAUUGAAAUAUUUAAAUAAAUAAUAAAUAAUUUGCCCCAGUGAUUUUGCCUUCAUGGGAAUAUUUGUACAUGGAACUAAAUUACAGUAAGAUUUAAGGCACUAGCUGUAACUGUGCUGAAUUGCUGCAGUGCAGAAAAAGUUUGGGAACCACUGCUGUUAGCUGACCUUGAAGACCUGCAAAUCCUUCUUCAGCCUGUAUUUUCUCCAGGCACCUUGAAUGACUCGCGCUGCUCUGGUUUCGUUGCGCAGAUCCAGCAGACGAGCACAAAGGAAAGUCAGGAAUAGUGUUGGACAUGUCAGCGGGGUUGAUCAUCGCAGGGACUCCGCCCAGAGCAUCCAAUUAGACACGUGGACUGAGAGGCACCAUGCUGACAUACCAUUCAGGCCUGGGGGCACAGAGUCAAAGGAGCUGUCAGAGUCGCUGGCUGAGCAGCUGAGCUCCAGGCGUCCCCUCAAGGAGCACUCCAUGGUCUGCGUGGUGCUGUGACUGACAGCCUCCUCGGGCAGGAGACCAGGGUGGUAGUGGUGGAUGAGGUGGCAGAGGAUGCGGCCGUCGGAGAACGUCACAGUAAAGUUCUCCACCUGCAAAUACAAGGGUCGACUCCUUUGCUUUUGAGGACCUGCAGAGCAACGUCAGUGUUGUGAACCUUCUGCAGUCGGCUGAUGGCAGGCAGCCGGAGCUUUGGUGACAGACUCCAGUCUUGGCUGACGGGCCGUAAACACUGAAAUGAUUUCAUGAAUCUGUGGCUCUGAGGCUGAGCCUCACCCUGGAGAACAGGAAGAAACAGAUCUCCUGCUGGGAUUAGAGCAUCACAUGU